UCAUCGGCUCCAGUCAGCCGCUAAAUGAUUCUUCCGGGGCGAGGUCUGGGGUCCUGGGACUGGGAGCUGGUUCUGACAGGCCAGGGUCAGGCCUGGUGUCCCCUGAGAAAGACGUUCCUCCACCAACCCUUUAGCAUUCCAGGGAGUGUCUCGAGAGUGCCAGGCCAGUUCCCCUCUCUCUGGUCACCAUAGGCCCCAGAUGUUUCUAGGGUCCUAGGAAUCAGGAGAGACACUAUGUACCUACUACGUUUCAAGCACUGACCCAGGUGCUAGGGCUGCAACAGAUAAUUAAGGGCUCGGCGGGCAGAGCGAGAGGUGGCAGGGACACCGAGCGCCACCCGACAGUGGGACGGCGGGGUCCGGCUGGACAAAGGCUCGGAGUGUGGAAGCACGAGCCCUGCAGAAAGAGCCAAGCCCGGUGCUGGACAAUGAAGCAGUGAAGUGGGAGAUGGCGUGCAGGCUCUUGCCGUCAAGAGGCCAGUGAUUCCUGGAACAGAAGAAGAAAGGAGUGAAAACGGGCGUAGAGGCAAUGGAAGAAUGUUCCUGUACACGCACCCGGAGGCUUUUGCAGGAGGCGGCUGUUGGAGAACCCGGAAAACAAGCCAAGAAACAAGAGAGAGGAAGAAGACCACGCCUCGCCUGGCGGAUUCCUAAUGGCCCAGGAGACCUGAGGCUUUACUGUGGGAGGCUGGGGGGGGGGGGGGGGGAGCAGGGGGGGGCGGUGCUGGCUCGGGUGGGAGGGAAGGGCAGGCCGAAGGACAGCCACUUGCUGGUCGGUGACCUUGGGCGGGAUGCUGCCUGCUUCCCUCUGGUGAGAAUGGGGAGGAGGGGGGCAGGGGCAGGGCUGGCCGGCUGAGGUCACAGGAAGGCCCCUUCCAGCCUGAAACGCGAUCUCGGGAUGUGGGGCCUGCCAACCUGCAGCGACCCUGGGCCAGCAGAGAUGAAAGGCUGCCUGUCCCCAGCUUCCGGACCCCCGAGGCCCCAGUGCCUCAGACUUGAAGGGCAGCAAAGCUGCUGCAGCUGGCUGGAGCCGGUUGCUGGACUCCCCACCCCACCUGAUGUCAUCCAACCCUCCCUUCCCUGUUUAGCUGGGGACACUCAGGCCCAGAGAGGGCUGCUGACCUACCCGAGGUCACACAGCAAGUUGGAGGCUGAGCCAGGGCUCACCACAAAGUCUUUGGACUCCAAGUCCAGGCCUCAUUCCCUUUCCCAGAAACUUGGCUGCCUGGGGGCUUACCCCAGGGAGCUGGAGAGACCCAGGGUUAGGGGAGAGAGUUGGGAGCUGUGUCCUUUGAAGUCAAGACUUAAUGUUGACUAAAGUGCUUUUUCUUUUCUUUUUUUUUUUUUUUUUUAAGACAAAAAAGAACGUUCAGCCCCCUGCCAUGAGCCUGGACUUGCUCUGCCGGCAGGGGAAGGAAUGCAGCUCUGGCCACCGCCGCCCUGGUGGCUAACUGCAGCCUCAGCCCCUGCUGCUGCCACCCCAGUGGGCACGGGGACAAAGGCCUCUUCUCAGGCCUGUCCUCUCCAGCUCCCUGGAUCAGUGGGGGCAGAGCAUCAACCAGGAGGCUUGGUUACUGACCAGCCGAGUCGCUGUUCCUUUCUGGGCCUUCGUGCCCUUUCUAGAAAAUGGGAGCAGAGCAUCUGCCUGACCUACCUCUCAGCAUUGUGUGGGGGCUCCAAAGGGGUAAAGUCACAGACCAAAAUACGGACCUCUCCGCACCUCUUUCAGCCUGAGGCUCUGCCUAAUCAGACACCCCUGUGCCUCCCCUGACCCUCCCGCCUUCCCUCUUGCUUCACCUGGCCGGCCCGACUCACUCAGUUCGGCUCGGCAGGACCGUCCCUCGCUCUGGGGAGCCUUCCCUCACCUCCAGACUGCACCGCUCCUUCAGGGUAUCUUAUCACUGUUGUAAUUAAAUAAUUAAUUGUGUGAUUGGA